UACGGAGGAUGCAAGCGUUAUCCGGAAUGAUUGGGCGUAAAGCGUCCGUAGGUGGUUAAGCAAGUCUGCUGUCAAAGGUCGGGGCUUAACUCCGAAGCGGCGGUGGAAACUGCUGAACUUGAGUGCGGUAGGGGUAGAGGGAAUUCCCGGUGUAGCGGUGAAAUGCGUAGAUAUCGGGAAGAACACCGGCGGCGAAGGCGCUCUACUGGGCCGUAACUGACACUGAGGGACGAAAGCUAGGGGAGCGAAAGGG
rnacentral:rRNA from 1 species